rnacentral:rRNA from 1 species
UACAGAGGGUGCGAGCGUUGUCCGGAAUCACUGGGCGUAAAGGGCGCGUAAGUGGCGAUCCAAGUCCAUGGUGAAAGCUCGAUGCUCAACAUCGAGUCGGCCACGGAUACUGGGGUUGCUUGAGCACUGUAGAGGCAGGCGGGAAUUCCGGGUGUAGCGGUGGAAUGCGUAGAGAUCCGGAAGAACACCGGUGGCGAAGGCGGCCUGCUGGGCAGUUGCUGACACUGAGGCGCGACAGCGUGGGGAGCAAACAGG